rnacentral:rRNA from 1 species
CAGUAGCCGCGGGAAUACAGAGGGUGCGAGCGUUAAUCGGAUUUACUGGGCGUAAAGCGUGCGUAGGCGGCUUUUUAAGUCGGAUGUGAAAUCCCUGAGCUUAACUUAGGAAUUGCAUUCGAUACUGGGAAGCUAAAGUAUGGGAGAGGAUGGUAGAAUUCCAGGUGUAGCGGUGAAAUGCGUAGAGAUCUGGAGGAAUACCGAUGGCGAAGGCAGCCAUCUGGCCUAAUACUGACGCUGAGGUACGAAAGCAUGGGGAGCAAACAGGAUUAGAUACCCCAGUAGUCCCUGUCUCUUAUAC